GUGCCGGCCAGUGGCACCAAUGUCGAUGUUGAUUCGUUGCUGCUACUAUAAUUGCUAUUGCUUCUGUGCCUGAAGUUGCGGUAUUUGUCGCCGAGAUAAGUCAUGAUGGCCCCGCUUUCAUACAG
rnacentral:RNase_MRP_RNA from 1 species